rnacentral:rRNA from 1 species
UACGUAGGGGGCAAGCGUUGUCCGGAAUCAUUGGGCGUAAAGAGCGUGUAGGCGGCCCGGUAAGUCCGCUGUGAAAGUCCAGGGCUCAACCCUGGGAUGCCGGUGGAUACUGUCGGGCUAGAGUCCGGAAGAGGCGAGUGGAAUUCCUGGUGUAGCGGUGAAAUGCGCAGAUAUCGCUUGGAACGCCGACGGCGAAAGCAGUCUGCUGGGGGCCUUCUGACGCUGAGACACGAAAGCCAGGGGAGCGAACGGG